rnacentral:lncRNA from 1 species
GUCGACGCUGGAACCUGCGAAACAGCAUCUCUGAAAUCUGCUCGGCAAACAGCAACUCAGUAAAAAGGGAUUUCGACAGAGCAAACCUUCUCCAAAUCGGCCGAGUAAGGAUCCUAUGGAUUCGUCUCGAAGUCUCGGUUUCAACGAACCAAAUCUCGUCGAAAUCCGAUGCUCCUACGUCGCGUACGAGCUGAAAUACUAACAGUCGACGACAAGAUCCUGCGAAUCAGCACUUAAGCUCGAAUUGAUGAUAUCCGAAGUAUGCGCAGCAAUUCCACAGAGCACUCACCUCGAUAGAUCCUCAAGAGUCGGCGCAAAGUCGAGGACGACGGAAAUCCACGCCCGCCCAAGCUCGUCACAGCACCAAUACGACACAACGUGCGCCCGAACGGCUCCGCAGCACCACGUCGGCGACGAAACUCCACCCGAACUCCACCUUGCACACACUCGGUUCUAGAGAGAGAGAG